GACUACCGGGGUAUCUAAUCCUGUUUGCUACCCACGCUUUCGAACAUGAGCGUCAGUACCGGACCAGGUGGCCGCCUUCGCCGCCGGUGUUCCUCCUGAUAUCAACGAAUUUCACCUCUACACCAGGAAUUCCACCACCCUCUUCCGGACUCAAGCCAAGCAGUUUCGAAUGCAGUUCCCGAGUUGAGCCCGGGGCUUUCACAUCCGACACACUUGGCCGCCUGCGUUCGCUUUACGCCCAGUGAUUCCGAGCAACGCUUGCGCCCUCCGUAUUACCGCGGCUGCUGGCACGGAGUUAGCCGGCGCUUUCUUGGGAGGUACCGUCAGUACUUCGUCCCUCCCGACAGAGCUUUACAACCCGAAGGCCUUCAUCACUCACGCGGCGUGGCUGGAUCAGGCUUUCGCCCAUUGUCCAAUAUUCCCCACUGCUGCCCCCCGUAGG
rnacentral:rRNA from 1 species